GCGGCAAUGGCGGAAACAGGCAGACGCGCCGGCUUCAAAACCCGGUGGGGAAACCCGUGUGAGUUCGAUGCUCACUUGCCGCACCA
rnacentral:tRNA from 1 species